UCCCCCCCUCCCUUUCCUCCCCCUCUCUCAUUCUACCUCACCUGUCCCCCUCAUCAGAUGUCAACUAGACUACUAGGCUUUCCACCGCAUAGAAAGAAAUCAUUGAGUUUCAGCUCUUUCUCCAAACAUCUCCUCCCUUUCCCUUUCCCAGACCCAGACAGGGGCACACACACAGACCGGCGACCGACCACGCUAUCUAGCCAACCAUUAAGUGUGUGUGUGAGGAAGUGUGUGUGUUUUUUUUUCUUUGAGUAGAAAGAAUGAAGUAAGGAAAAGAAGUUAGUGGGUAUUUGCACUCUGUGCCCGUGUUUGGUAACCCAGGAUCCCUUUAAAAUAAUUUCACUUGACGGUGAAACCUGGAAGUGGAAAGUUUAUAACUGUGAAAAGUCACAGGACUUGGAGACGUCUCCAGAUGCUGUGUGGCAAAAUAUAAAGGUUGCCAUGGGGUGUUGGUGGUGCUGGCUACUGGUAACCUUGCUAUGGGUUUCCACGAUAACAAACCCAUGCCUUGGCCAGAGUGGUGACAGUAGCGACUGGGGCUCGGGCUUCGAUGUCUCCAUGACGACCCUCAGCAGCAACAAGAACACGUCCUCCUCCCAGGAGCCAGGAGAUUACCCUGCGGGUUCAGAAACAGAGACAAGAGAAUCCUGGGUAAAAAUACUUCCACCUAAGCCAGUGUUCCACUACAAGCCGGAGCCAGAUGAGUGCUCUGUCCACUUCAGCACCAGUCAGGCUUCCGCCAGGCGCCUCAAGGCCCAGAGAGAAGAGUUGGCCUACCUGAAGGCUAUACAGCAUGGGAACCAGGCGGUGGUGGAGAACCUAGUCCAGUACAUAGGAGCAGAGCUGGGGGAUGAGCAGCGCUACGAGGACGUCAUCGAGGAAAACAUAGUGGGCAUCAGGGAGGAGCAGCAGAGCUGUAACGGUGUGGUCCAGAAGGUGAUGGAGGAUCUGGAGGGACAGCUGGAAGGAGAUGUACUGGAGGCUCUGACUGGGAUACGGAAAAUCAAAGAGGAGUCCCUAACGUUUGAGGGCCUCUUCCAGGCAGCAGCAGACAUCGCCAAGGGGCUGGAUACCUUGUCUCAGACCCUCCACGCCUCCUUCACCAAACAGCUCAAAGACUCUCUCAAAACUUUACAUCGCUAAAGAGACUUACUAUCCUCCAUCGCUAAGGAGAUUGUCUGGUCUCAGAUCUGUUUGUGCGGUCUCUCCAGUUCCUAUGGUCCUUGCUAUCACUCUUUUGUAGCCUGGUCUCAGAUCUGUUUGUGCUGUCUCUCCAGUUCCUAUGGUCUUUGCUGUGACUAUUUUGUAGCCUGGUCUCAGAUCUGUUUGUGCAAGAGAGCACAAACAGCUAUUGGACCAGGCAACUAAGGCCUAGAUUAAAUUAGAUCAAGUGUAAAGCGGCAAUAGCCGACACCCACAUAGCUGAUGUUUUGGCGGUGUCGGAGGUGUAACUACUCAUAAAUCGGUGAGCAGCAGCUCAUGUGAUCAUUGUCAUGAAGUUCAGAACAAUAAAGUAUAGGCUAUAUAGAAAUAAUUACACUGAAACUAAAAAAAUCAUUCAAUUAUGUCAUGAAGAUUUAUAUUAGACUAACCGAGGUGUAGAUUAGAUCUCAAACUCCAAUGUUCGAAAUUUCCCUUAAUGUGACUCUGUGCAGCCAAUUGCAAUGUCCACUUUAGGUAUAAAUCUGGGAGCCGCUUGUGGAUUUGACAGUUCUAAUGCAUUCCACCUCUGCCGCCGCCAAAACAACCGCUAUGAGGAUGUCUGCUAGCGCAGAUCUGAUAGAAUCUAUCCCUAAGAAGAACUCUCUCCUCUUCUUCUCUCCAUCCUACUCUACUUCCCUCCCUCCUACUCUUCUUCUGCCCCUCCUACUAUUCUUCUCUCCCUCCUACUUCCCUCCUACUCUUCUUCAAUCCCUCCUACUCUUCUUCACUCCCUCCUACUCUUCUUCUCCCCCUCCUACUCCUCUUCUCUCCCUCCUACUCUUCAUUCCUCUUACACUUCUUCUCUCCCUCCUACUUUUCUUCCCUCCCUUCUACUCUUCUUCUCCCCCUCCUACUCUUCUUCUCUCCCUCCUACUUCCCUCCUACUCUUCUUCUCUCCCUACUACUCUUCUUCUCGCCCUCCUACCCUUCUUCCCCCUCCUACUUCCCUCCUACUCUUCUUCUCUCCCUACUACUCAUCUUCUCACCCUCCUACUCUUCUUCCCUCCUACACUUCUUCCCUCCCUCCUACUCUUCUUCCCUUCUACUCUUCUUCUCUCCCUCCUACUCUUCUUCGCUCCCUUCUACUCUUCUUCUCCCCUCCUACUCUUCUCUCCCUCCUACUUCCCUCCUAAUCUUCUUCUCUCCCUCCUACUUUUCUUCCCCCCUCCUACUUCUCUCCUACUCAUCUUCCCUCCCUCCUACUCUUCUUCCCUCCCUCCUACUCUUCUUCUCUCCCUCCUACUCUUCUUCCCUCCCUCCUACUCUUCUUCUCUCCCUCCUACUCUUCUUCUCUCCCUCCUUCUCUUCUUCUCUCCCUACUACUCUUCUUCCCUCCCUCCUACUCUUCUUCUCUCCCUCCUACUCUUCUUCCCUCCCUCCAACUAUUCUUCCCUCCCUCCUUCGCUUCUCCUUCCCUCCUUCAGGCUACUACAACCUUCAACAUCUGUGUCUCUUGUCAAAACCUAAAUCUCUCUGGUCUGAACCUAGAGAUGUGUAGUGCUCUACUAAACAGAUGCUCUGACAGGAAUGUUCUUUCUGCUCAGUGUACUUUAAGUGAACCGUGAGAGGGCUGACAGAGCUAUGGAAUAAUUGGUAGAGGAUUUAUGCUGAGAUUUUGGACCACAGAUUUGUAAUGAACAGUCACUGUACUGUACUGUACCGUAGCUGUUUAAUACAGUAGCACUCACGUGUGACCAAAUGCUAUCAUAGACAAAACGCCAAGUCAGUACUUUUUCUGUUUACAAUUAUUCCAAAAAACAUUAAGUUGUUCAUACUGAGCAGUUCAGCAUAUAAUUAUAUCAUAGUAUGUAAUGUAUUUCAAACCAGAUUUUCCAUCCAGUAAAUUGCUAUUAUUACUGGAAUUUUAUGCCAGUUGGAAGUUUUGAAACAAAAUAUAUUUGUUUACGUCCCAAACUGCACUUUAUUCCCUGCAUGGUGCACUACUGUUGACCAAAGCCCUAUGGGCCCUGUUCAGAAGGGCACUAUAUCAGGAAAAGGGUGGGAUUUGUGACACAAACUCUAUUUCAGUCAUAGUAGUACGGGCAGCUCUGGUUAGCCUUAGUAUUAUGGUACAUCUGUAUUGGUCUCUCUAGGUACCAGGGUAGUAUGGUCUGUCUGUAUUGGUCUCUCUAGGUACCAGGGUAGUAUGGUCUGUCUGUAUUGGUCUCUCUAGGUACCAGGGUAGUAUGGUCUGUCUGUAUUGGUCUGUCUAGGUACCAGGGUAGUAUGGUCUGUCUGUAUUGGUCUGUCUAGGUACCAGGGUAGUAUGGUCUGUCUGUAUUGGUCUCUCUAGGUACCAGGGUAGUAUGGUCUGUCUGUAUUGGUCUCUCUAGGUACCAGGGUAGUAUGGUCUGUCUGUAUUGGUCUGUCUAGGUACCAGGGUAGUAUGGUCUGUCUGUAUUGGUCUCUCUAGGUACCAGGGUAGUAUGGUCUGUCUGUAUUGGUCUGUCUAGGUACCAGGGUAAGGGUGGAGACCAGGAUAAGUUCAGGGCAGACGCUUGAAGGGAGGUUCUCCUCUCUUGUUCUAUGAAAGCAGAAGCCUGGAAUACACCCUGAUCUGUUGUUUUAUCAGUGAAAAUACACAAGUGUAAUUAGAGUGAUAUUCAGCUCAAAUAUCAGCUCAAAUUCCAGGUUUGAAAACCAAAGUGUUCAUUUGCAAAUAAAGGGAAUUGUGUACAAGUGCAAUGGGACUUUAUCUAGCUGGGUUAUAUUUGAAAGGGUAUGUUAUGCUGUGAGGAAAAUAUGUUUUUCAGAGACAUUUAUAUUGUAUGCAGUGAGUUGGUGAGGAAAGGGGCAGCCAGGCGUGGGGUGAUUGUGACUUUGACCCCCAUUCCUUGUCAGAGUUCAAACGACAACCCAAUGCUGUUGAAUGGGUUGGAAACAUAGGCUACAUCCUAAAUGGCAGCCUAGUCCCUAUAUAGUGCACUACUUUAGAGCAGAGCCCUAUGGCAUCCUAUUCCUUAUAUAUAGUGCACUACUUUAGACAGAGCCCUUUGGCACCCUAUUCCCUAUAUAGUGCACUACUUUAGACCAGCGCUCUAUGGCACCCUAUUCCCUAUAUAGUGCACUACUUUAGACCAGAGCCCUAUAGCACCCUAUUCCCUAUAUAGUGCACUACUUUGGACCAGGACCCAAGUAUAGAGUGUCAUUUGGUAUGCAACUACACACAGCCCUAAUCUGAAGUAUACAAAACCAAUUAGGCUUUAUAUAGAUGGGUUCCACUGGGAUAAUGUUGUGUAUGGUUACAGCGGGUAAUGUUGUGUAUGGUUACAAGGGGUAAUGUUGUGUAUGGUUACAGGGGGUAAUGCUGUGUAUGGUUACAGUGGGUAAUGUUGUGUAUGGUUACAGGGGGUAAUGUUGUGUAUGGUUACAAGGGGUAAUGUUGUAUGGUUACAGGGGGUAAUGUCGUGUAUUGUUACAGGGGGUAAUGCUGUGUAUGGUUACAGUGGGUAAUGUAGUGUAUGGUUACAGGGGGUAAUGUUGUGUAUGGUUACAAGGGGUAAUGUUGUAUGGUUACAGGGGGUAAUGUCGUGUAUUGUUACAGGGGGUAAUGCUGUGUAUGGUCACAGCGGGUAAUGUAGUGUAUGGUUACAGGGAGUAAUGUUGUGUAUGAUUACAAGGGGUAAUGUUGUGUAUGGUUACAGGGAGUAAUGCUGUGUAUGGUCACAGCGGGUAAUGUAGUGUAUGGUUACAGCGGGUAAUGUAGUGUAAGGUUAUCAGGGAUACUGUUGUGUAUGGUUAAAGGGGGUAAGGACGUGUAUGGUUACAGGGAGUAAUGUUGUAUGGCUACAGGGGGUAAUGUUGUAUGGUUACAGUGGGUAAUGUUGUAUGGUUACAGGGGGUAAUGUUGUAUGGUUACAAGGGGUAAUGUUGUAAAGGAAACAUAGUACUACCAUGAGUUGGUGGGGAGGCCAUGGUGGUUAUUGCGUGAGUUACUUUGACCCCCGUCCCUUUAAGAGAUCAAACAACGACAUGAGAUAAUUCAUCUCCUAGUCCAAUUCAGUGGGAGUUCCAACUUUACUCUAUAUCAGUUUCUGUUCUGUCCCUAGUUCUCUUUCUGUCGUAGAAAGACGUACUUGUUGUUGCAGUCUUUUAUGGGCGAUGCCACCACCCUUUCUUUUUUAGGACCGUAUGUUUUUAAUGUUGUAAUUAUGAAACGAUAAAGACAAAACAUGUUAUGUCAAAAUGUAGUAUACUUAUAAAAAAAUGUUUAACUAAAAUGUAAUCUAUGUAAUCCCCAAAGGGCCAUAAAUAUUAACUAGUGAUGCUACAUAUUCACAGAAAGGUUCAAAUCUCACCUUUCUGGUAAAAAAAUAGUUGUAAAUUGCUGAGGUGUAGUCACUUUAAGACACAAGCUCAAGUAUACAGUACAAAUAUGAUACAUAUUUUAUAUUACGUAAUUCCUUUUCAACAAAACUGUAUGAAUAAGUCUUGAAAUGACUUAUAUGCUUUCUAAAUAUAUUAUAAUCAAAUUAUAAAACCUCUAAGUAUAAGAUAGUACCUUCCUUAUAACUGUAAAAUACAUAUUUGUAUGUUUAGUGUUAGAGAAAAUGUGCACAUUUUCUAAAAGUAUUUUCUUUUGUUUAAAACAAGCUCUAGCUUGGCCUUCCUGAACUCGUUAGUAACUCGCCUUUCAUCUCACAUUCAUAUGACAAAUCUGUGAAAAAACAACGUUGUUUUUUUUGUUGUUUAAAAUCUAUGAAUUAUUUUAGAUGAAUGGCUGUAAAUCAAUCUCUGAUGAAACCACUCUCUACUGCUGUGCUACGAUGUCAGGAUUUCAGUCAUGUGUUUUGUCAGUUGCUGUGACGUAAGGUUCAGCCAGGAGGUGAUGGACAGUCGGAAGAGUGAAUGAAGGACAUCCCAGUGUCAAGUGGUUUCAGAUUUCACAUCCUACAUUGCACAGGCUCAGAAAAUAUACUACUGUGUCCGUGGGAACAAGGACUGUCGUUCACAGCAAGCCAUUUCCAUAUACGUUGUCUACAUAUCGAUUUAUAAGUGAAAAUGUUGGUUGGAACCGGUACCAGAACAACACAGGUCCCCCAAACAGGGGACUUUACAUCAGUAUAGGCCAUAGGUUUACAUUACAGUGUUGUUUUAUUUAAUCCAGAUGAAAAUAAAGUUGUACCUAAAAUACGUUU
rnacentral:lncRNA from 1 species